GCCGGGAUAGCUCAGCUGGGAGAGCAGCAGACUGAAGUGCAUACAGAUUAAUCUGAAGGUCGCGUGUUCAAUCCACGCUCCUGGCA